AUGGCGCUGAUCGGCAGCGACGACACGGCGGCGGUUCUCGGCGAACUGCGCCGCAGGAAGAACGAGGACGACCCUGACCAUUUCCACCAAUACGAGGUCGACGCCGCGGGCCGUCUCAAGAGGCUCUUCUGGGCCGACGCCGACGCGCGCGUCAGCAGCUGCGGCCGCAGCGAUGACGUCGUCGUCAUCGACCCCGCGCUCGGGACGAACAGGUACGGCGCGGCAUUCGUCCCCUUCCUCGGCAUGAACCACCACCGCCGCCCCGUGCUCCCCGGCUGCGCCGUCCUCGCAGACCAGUCCCCCGACUCGUAUGUCUGGCUGUUGCGGGCCUUCGUGAUGUCCAUGGGCCAGGGGAGGCCCAAGUCCGUGAUCACCGACGGCGGCGACGCGCUGGUCCACGCCGUCGAGACCGUGCUCCCGCAGCCCAACCACCGGAUCUGCUCGUGCCACCUGGAGGAAGGCGUCAGGGAGCACCUCGGCGGCUGGUCGGCCCAGGACGGCUUCAGGUCGCUGAUGUUCGAGGACAGUUGCUCGCCGGUGGAGUUCGAGGAGCGGUGGCGCAGUUUCGUGUCCAGCCACAGGACGGCGAGCAACCAGGAGUGGCUCUGCAGGAUGUACGUGAAGAGGGAGCUUUGGGCCGCCGCCUUCGUGCGCGACAAGUUCUUCCUCGGCAUGCCGAGAGACGAAGACGAGGACACGGAGUGCCUCUGCCUAUCUUCGGGCCUGCGCACGAGCUUCUCCGAGGACAUGACGCUGCUCGCCCUGCUCCAGCGCGCAGACUCCAGGGGCAACUGCAUGCGCGGGCAGGAGGCCGAGCUCGACGAGGAGGCCGACGAGUCACGCGUUGAGCUGACCACCGAGCACAAGUGCCUCGAGGAAGACGCGGCACGGUCCUUCACGCCGGCCAACUUCGCAAUCGUGCUGGAGGAGAUCGAGGCGCUGGAGGACUUCGAGAUCAUCGACACCCUGAGCAGCAGCUCCGACAGCUCCGCCCACAAGGUCUACACGCUGGAUCUCCACGGCGACCUCUUCAGCGUGUUGCAGUCCCACGACCGCGCCAACGACGACAAGGAGACGCACUCGAGCGCCGUCUUCAAGUGCAGCUGCCGGAAGAUGGAGCGCGACGGCUUGCCAUGCCGGCACAUCCUCCACGUGCUGCAGCACGAAAAGGCGUCCUCCAUACCGAAGUGCUGCAAGCUGGGAUGGCUGCUGCGGCGGGGUGACACAAGGCACGAGAGGCUCGGCGAGAUGGAGGCGCUGGGGCGGAAGGUGUUCGACCUGGCGUCGCAGGACGCCGAGGAGUUUGAGGAGAUCAAGGAGUUCUUGCAGGACUGGCUGCAGGAGAGGGAGCUAUCUUCUUGA
rnacentral:rRNA from 1 species